rnacentral:lncRNA from 1 species
GACUUCCUCCCCACAGUGAGCUAAAAGGACGCUUUUGUCAGAGUGGGGAAAUAAAAGGGCUUUAUGGGAAGGAAGAUAAGAACAGAUGAGUCAGAGGUUUCUGCUUAAUGGUGGUACAGCCAAGCAGACAGGCAAGUAAGUGGCCAUACUGCUACUGCCUCAUGUAGGAUCCGGCAGGCUGGUGGGUUAUCAGUCCUCACGUGGGACCCUCCCACCAUGGCAGCUGAGCACAUCCAAGCUGGGGGAUCCUGAAGAGACCUUCACCUGGGUGCCACGUGGAAGAUUGGCCAGCACCAUUUUGACUCCUGUGGAUGGGUGAGUGUUUUGCCCACCCCCACCCCAAUAACAUCAGCACCCAAACUGCACCUGGUCACCUGUCUACAUUCAGAUUUAGAUGAAAGCCACACCAUGGAGGCAGCCAGAGGCCCAUGGGAGAUGUCUGGAUUCGCAGAGGAAUAGCUCCAUGUGAUGCAAACCUUGACUAAUGGGAACAGGAAAAGGGAGGAAACCAGGAAGAUAAAUCUCCCUCCCUUCUCAUUGCUCCUUGCAACCCUUCCCACUUGAAGCAUGACCACAUUUAAUGAACAACCUGCUGUGUCUCUUGGAAGCUUGCUGCAAGGCAGCAAUCAGCACAAUAACAUUGUAUUGUAUCUUCCUCUGCUUCACUUCUCUUC